rnacentral:rRNA from 1 species
CUCAAAGGAAUUGACGGGGGCCCGCACAAGCAGCGGAGCAUGCGGCUUAAUUCGAUGCAACGCGAAGAACCUUACCUAGACUUGACAUAUACGGAAAACAUGCAGAGAUGUAUGGUCCUAACGGGCCGUUUACAGGUGGUGCAUGGUUGUCGUCAGCUCGUGUCGUGAGAUGUUGGGUUAAGUCCCGCAACGAGCGCAACCCUCGUUCUAUGUUGCCAGCACGUAAUGGUGGGGACUCAUAGGAGACUGCCGGGGUCAACUCGGAGGAAGGUGGGGAUGACGUCAAAUCAUCAUGCCCCUUAUGUCUAGGGCUGCACGCAUGCUACAAUGGCUGGUACAAAGGGCUGCGAUACCGCAAGGUGGAGCGAAUCCCAAAAAGCCAGUCUCAGUUCGGAUUGGGGUCUGCAACUCGACCCCAUGAAGUUGGAGUUGCUAGUAAUCGCAGAUCAGCAACGCUGCGGUGAAUACGUUCCCGGGCCUUGUACACACCGCCCGUCACGUCACGAAAGUCGGUAA